AAUGAGAUGCCUGAUAAAAAGGACUAUUUUGAUAGAAUAGAAUAUGUAGUUAUUUACUCUCAUUA
rnacentral:tRNA from 1 species